rnacentral:tRNA from 1 species
ACUCAUGUAUCUUAUAAAAAGUGUUAGGUUCUUACCCUAAAGAUGUGUUCUACCAUGAGUG